UGUAUCUGAAGCCUGACGAGGAUGAGAACCUCCGGGGGCAAGAGGUUCGACCCGAGCGAAGCGAGAGAACGUUGCGUCAGCAACGGCCCGCAGUGGCAAGUCAUCCUCUGUCACCGGCA
rnacentral:sRNA from 5 species